rnacentral:rRNA from 1 species
AUGAACGCUGGCGGCGUGCUUAACCCAUGCCAGUCGAACGAAGCACUUUAUUUGAUUUCCUUCGGGACUGAUUAUUUUGUGACUGAGUGGCGGACGGGUGAGUAACGCGUGGGUAACCUGCCUUGUACAGGGGGAUAACAGUUGGAAACGGCUGCUAAUACCGCAUAAGCGCACAGCAUCGCAUGAUGCAGUGUGAAAAACUCCGGUGGUAUAAGAUGGACCCGCGUUGGAUUAGCUAGUUGGUGAGGUAACGGCCCACCAAGGCGACGAUCCAUAGCCGACCUGAGAGGGUGACCGGCCACAUUGGGACUGAGACACGGCCCAAACUCCUACGGGAGGCAGCAGUGGGGAAUAUUGCACAAUGGGCGAAAGCCUGAUGCAGCGACGCCGCGUGAGCGAAGAAGUAUUUCGGUAUGUAAAGCUCUAUCAGCAGGGAAGAUAAUGACGGUACCUGACUAAGAAGCACCGGCUAAAUACGUG